rnacentral:rRNA from 1 species
UACGUAGGGGGCAAGCGUUGUCCGGAAUUAUUGGGCGUAAAGAGCGCGUAGGCGGUCCGGUAAGUCGGUUGUGAAAGUCGGGGGCUCAACCCUCGGAUGCCGAUCGAUACUGUCGGGCUAGAGUCCGGAAGAGGCGAGUGGAAUUCCUGGUGUAGCGGUGAAAUGCGCAGAUAUCAGGAGGAACACCUAUUGCGAAGGCAGCUCGCUGGGACGUAACUGACGCUGAGACGCGAAAGCGUGGGGAGCAAACAGG